CAAAAGUUUGACUCUGGCUUAUAAAUUAAUUAAUUUGUUAUUCUAUAUGGGUUUUGAUAAAAUAUUUUUAUUCCAGUAGAAAGUUUUAAUUUAUAUUAUUUGUUUUGAAUUAGGAAUCAAAUUAAAUGUAGAUGAAUAUUGUGCCAGCAUUCGCGGUUAGACAAUUUACAUAAGUUAAUUUUCUAUUUUCUAUUAAUUUUUAUUGUUAUGAUUUAUUAUAGUUUUGCUUAGGUGGAAUUUGCAUUAAUUAGUUACUUUCUUUAUAAUCAUAUUAAGAAAUUAUAGUAUUAAACUAGGAUUAGAUACCCUACUAUUUUUAAUGUAAAUUUUAAAGAAUGGUAGGAGGUAUGUUCUUCAAAGCUCAAAGAGUUUGGCGGUAAAAUAUCUAUUCAGAGGAACCUGUAGGUUGAUUGAUGAACCACGAUAGUUUAUACUUCAUUUAUAUUUGUAUACCGCUAUAAUAUGGAAUGUAUUUAAAGAUCAUUUUCUUUUUUUUAUUAAAAAUUUAUGUUAGGUCAAGGUGCAGUUUUAAUGAAGUUCUUAUGGGUUACUUUUGUUAUAAGUUUUAUUAAGAUUUUGUUUUACUAAAAUCAUUAUUUAGGAUUUGAUAGUAAAUUAGUCUAAUUAGGUUUAUUGAAUUUUGCUCUAUUUUAUGUACAUAUCGCCCGUCAUUCCUAAUAUUCUUAGGACAAGUCGUAACAAAGUAAUUUUACCGGAAGGUGAGGUUAGAUUUAUUAA
rnacentral:ncRNA from 1 species